GUUAUUCGUAGUAUCUCCCAGGCUAUGACUUGUCUCUUCCUAACAGGGUCUUUGAAGAGCAUUUAAAAUUUUUUCAUAAUAUUCAAUUUAUUAUUUUUUUUCUUUAGUGGCUUAUGGUUUUAUACCCUAUUUAUAUCAUCUUUGCUGACACUAAAGUCACGUGGAUUUUCUUUGUUUUCUUCCAAAAGUAGUAUACUUUCAUUUUCAGUUUUAGACUCUUAAUUCAUUUUGUGUCCUCUUUUGUAUAUGAUGUGAGGGAAGGAAAGAUGCUUUUUUUUUUUUUUUUUUUACUUUUCCUUGUGGAUAUCUAAUUUUCACAGCACCAUUUGUGAAAGGUCUUUCUGUUCCCAGUUGAUUGCCUUGACACCUUUGUUUUUUAUAAAAGUAAUCAAACAGGUGCAGGUUUAUUUCUUAACUCUAUUUUUCCCAUUAAUCUAUGAAGAUGAUUCUUGUGCAAGGACUAUAUUACUGGAUAAAAACAGAUGGAAAGCUACGGACUCUUUUCUCUGCUAUUGAGCCCAUUCCAGAAUUUUUUUAUUUCAGGUAAUGUAUCUUCAUAGUUCCAAAGUUUCCAUUUGAUUGAUUUAAAACAUUUUAUAUUUCUCUUUUGAGAUUUCACAUCUUUCCAUUCAUCAUAAUCCUACUACUUUUAAUUCAUUGAACAUAGUAACACCACCUGUUAAUGUCCUUGAACUAUGAUAUCUGAGUCAUCUCAGCAUUGACCUCUGAUGCUUUUCUUUUGUAAAUGGGUCACAUUUCCACAUUUCCCUAUAUUUCUUAUACUCACAUAAUUUUAAAUUUUAUUUUGGACAUUGUGAAUGUUAUUUUGUGGAGGCUGUGGAUUUUACUAUGUUCCUUCAGAAAGUCUUAAAUUUUCUUUGUGU
rnacentral:lncRNA from 1 species